AUUUGUAUAGUAUAAAAAUUAUAUUUAACUUCCAAUUAAAAAAUCUAGAUUUCUACUAGUACAAGUA
rnacentral:tRNA from 1 species